UACGGGGGGGGGCAAGCGUUGUUCGGAAUUACUGGGCGUAAAGGGCUCGUAGGCGGCCAACUAAGUCGGAUGUGAAAUCCCCAGGCUUAACCCUGGGAACUGCAUCCGAUACUGGAUGGCUUGAAUUCGGGAGAGGGAUGCAGAAUUCCAGGUGUAGCGGUGAAAUGCGUAGAUAUCUGGAGGAAUACCGGUGGCGAAGGCGGCAUCCUGGACCGAGAUUGACGCUGAUGAGCGAAAGCUAGGGGAGCAAACGGGG
rnacentral:rRNA from 1 species